ensembl:lncRNA
UUCAAGUUCAUUAAACCAAAUCUCAAAAAGUCUUUAAUUUCAUGUUCAAAGCUCUGGUUUUCUGGUCUUUGGAUGACAGUAUUAAAACUACACAAAAGUACUAUAGUAAUAGGAGGUUUAACCCUCAUGUCAUCUCUCUGAAGUAGCCAGUGGAACAGCUGGCAUCCUGACAGCAACCGAGCAGAGUAAAACUCAACCUGCGCCUGUAGACAAAGCACCAGAUGACAACAUCACAACAGUUAAGAGUCAGUGUUUAGCCAGACAGACAUGUAAGAAAACAGGAACUGACAAGCUGCAGACAAGGGUUUCAGAGAGCUAAACUGGACUGAGCAAGCCAAUGAAAUGCUGAAGCAUUCAGACCAGUGUCUAUCUGAGAUGUUCAACUCUUCCGGAUUGUUGCAGGCCAAUUUUACCCCUAACCAUAGCCAAACUAACCCAACCACCUUUUGCCCCAUUCCCCCAUCAAAACCCCACCCUAACCCCCUCCUCUCGUCCUCAGAGACCUGGCUCCGGAACUGACUUAGGAAGUCCCUUAAUGGUUACCAAACUGUGGGGGAACUGCAUACGCUCAGCGAGGACUAAACAUAUGUUUAGAGGAGACAACAUCAGCAAUCACCACUUGACCCUGGCGCUCAUACUUCUGUUUUCCUCCCCCUCAGACGGGAGAAAGAACUCAGAACGGGUAAUAUAAUCAGCCGAAAGCACAAAACCAGUGAGGAGGCACUGUGAACAUGCCCAGUUCCAGAUGUACGGGCAGCCAUGUACCGAGACAAGGCUGGGAAGAGAAGCAGAGGAUGUCGAGGAGGAGUUAAGAAAUAAAGAUGAAUCACUGCAGAAUGAAACUUAGGAAAGAAAAUAUUUCAAAUAAGAUCUCUUUGAUAUCUCUUUUAAACAGCAAAUUGGAGGUUUUCUGAGUAACAGGAGCUUCCUUCUUCUCAGAUCUUCUCCUGAAAUAGACGGCAGCAAUCUCACAAAUAAUUUCAGAAAAAAUCCCAACAAUGUCUCAGACUGUUCUCAGAAUUGCCAGUAUACCAUAAUCAACCAAAGGUUGUAAUGGUCUGGAUGUUUGUCCCUUUAAGACUCUGAUUCAGGGUUUCCUCUGCCCCUGCACUCGUGUGUAUAUGCUGGGAGAACCAUAUUGUACUUUCUACCAUUUUGAAGCACCUUCCUUUAACAUUAAUUCAUUCGUUGAUGGUGACCUGCAUUGUGCGUUUCUUUCUUCCAUAACGCACAAUAGGUUACAAGGUCAAGAAACAUUCCUGUUUAUACUUUGACUACACUAUUCAGUGCCAAAAAGCAACAAAAAUGGUCAAAUCUGCAGGUUUACAGACACAAGAUCACACUCACAAGUUCAUUGUAGGAGCAUGAUUCCAUACAGAUGUUCAACCGUGAAGAAGAAAAAUAGGUGGGAGGGGAAACUGACCAAAGAGUGAGAACAAAUUGCUUAUGUCUGUGACUUCACAUUCAAUGUGUAAAUAAGAUGUUCAAAGAAAACAAUAUGGAGUUAUUCCAAAACAUCCCUAAAAUCCCCUGCUCCCCCGGGAAGCCGCUUCUCAUUGUUUUUCAUUAACCUCAUGCCUGCGUGUCUCCAGAGGCCAUUAUUUACAACAGAUGAGAAAGUGGUGUUUGAAAAACUCAACUGGUUACUUUCUCCCCUGUACGGUGAAAUUGGGUACCUUGUGAACCUGUAUUCGAUUCUCGGCUUUUAAGACCCGUUAUAUCAAAGUAACUAUAUAAUUCUAUGAGAAUAGGCAAAUCCACGCCAUAACUAUAAAGAUAACAACAUUGUUAAUUUGUGCAGUAGCCAUCAGGGGAACAAAUACUGUCAUGACAAAGUUAAAAGAUGGUGUCGUAACUGCACUCUCCUACUCACAACAAUAAAAAGAAAUCAUGUGUUUUGGUUUGGUUUAUUAUUAUUACAUACAUUACAUACAAGCAAUGGAAAAAUAAUUUUAAGUCUCAGAUCAGUGUACAACAGGCCACUUGUAAAAUGGUGCUUUUCCUCAUUUCAUGGACUCAGUCAGGCAUGUGCUAACAAAUGGCUGUAAGUUGGCUAACUAAGGGAACAUCUCAAAGGAAGAAACAUGAGGUGACAAUGCAAGUGAUAAAUUCAUUUCAGUGUGGAAAAGGUGUAAUCAUUUGAGAAUAGUUACUCAUUGCCAGGAAUUACUCAGACCCAGCUGUGUAGUACACACAGCCACGAACACACACAAACACACACAUCUAUCUAUCAUCCUCCCCUCUGUCCACCCUUACAAAUGUUUAGUCACUCACAUCUAGUUACCAAUGAAUAAAAAAAACACCCCUGAAAAAGCCUGACGGAAAAAAAUGAUGGGAGUUUUCGGUUCACUGUCUAAGGUCAGGUAUCAGCACUAAUAUUUGGCUGAAAAAUGUCACUUUAACUUUUUCAUUAUAAAACAUUACCAAACUCCCAUUUAGGCAUGUAAAUAUCUCAUGGCUGCUUUCUUAUUCACUGAAUAAGAAUAUUUACAAAAAUAAUAUUUUUCACUGAAUGUUAAACUACAAAAUGUGCUCCACAUGGUAACUCCUAAAUUAAUUUAAUCCAAAUCUUUUAUUUAAUCUGAUAUAUACAUUAUAUGUUUAUUUAAUAAAAAUAAUUCAAUAAUCGAUCUAUCUAUCUAUCUAUCUGUCUGUCUGUCUGUCUGUCUGUCUGUCUGUCUGUCUGUCUUUUGGGAGUUAAAAAAAAAAACCUUAGAUAAACAAAAAAAAUGAUGAAAUAUUUGAGAAUAACAUUAUAGCAAAAAACCUUAGAUAAACAUUUUUUUCCGGGAGCAAUUUUGUGAGCCGGGUAGGAUUUCCCAGUAGAAAUCAUCAGCUUGGAGGAAAUCAUUUAGUCUCAGUAAGUGGCAGACAGCAUCCUGAUCUCACUGCUCUGGCUCCAGUCUCAGAACAGCUCCUAAGCGCUCUGCAGUCUUUCAGGCCAGGACUAUAUAAACACUGCUUUAAGAGGCCGACAUAAUCCUUGUGUGGCCUCUCAAUUCUUUUUAGCUCAUGAACAAUGUUUCAAAAAUCUUUAGAGGAGGAAACAAAUUUGAGAGACAGAGAGAGGAAAAGAGAGAAGAUUGAAAUAUUAUAACAUCGAAAAGAGAGAUAACAACAUAAGCUGAAUAAAUGUCCAUUUCUGCAGAAAAUAAGACAUGACAUUAAUCUGUUAAGGCUUGUUGGUUUCUUAUUACCAUUUCAUAAUGCCAUGAUUAUUAUUAUUAUUUUUUUUAUUCCCUGCAAACACUGCACUGACUAAUAUGGCAUUAAUUUCGGACUGAUACUGACAGUGGAGUAGAGGAAGCAUCAUGAAAAAUGUAUGUUUUUAUUAGUUACCAAUGCUGAUGUUAAGUUAAAUUUUCCAUUCACAGUCAGCAGUAAUUUAUUUAUUACAUAUUCUCUUAUUAUGAUAUGACUGCUCUUAUGUUUACUUUUUUUUAAAGUCCUAUUCUUUUCUGUGUAAAAUAAAUAAAUAAAAAAUGUUUAAAAAGGAAAAAAUAACUUCACUUUACAUUUGUGCAAUUGAAUUGAUUCUGAACAUUGUGCCACAAUUAUUAUGU